AUUCAAGAACACCAGAGGCGAAGGCGAAAACUUAGGCCGCUAUUGACGCUUAGGCUUGAAAGUGUGGGGAGCAAAUGGGAUUAGAUACCCCAGUAGUCCACACUGUAAACGAUGGGUAUUAAGUCUUGGGACUAGAGUCUCAGGGCUGGAGCUUACGUGUUAAAUACCCCGCCUGGGUAGUACAUAUGCAAAUAUGAAACUCAAAGGAAUUGACGGGGACCUGAACAAGUGGUGGAACAUGUUGCUUAAUUCGAUACUACACGAAAAACCUUACCAAGAUUUGACAUCCCUCGCGAAGCUUUAGAGAUAAAGUGAAGGUUAUCGAGGUGACAGGUGGUGCAUGGUUGUCGUCAGCUCGUGUCAUGAGAUGUUGGGUUAAGUCCCGCAACGAGCGCAACCCUACUCUCUAGUUGAUUGUUUAGAGAGACUGAACAGUAAUGUAUAGGAAGGUCGGGAUCACGUCAAAUCAUCAUGCCCCUUAUGUCUUGGGCUGCAAACGUGUUACAAUGGCGAGUACAGCGUGCAGCAAACCAGCGAUGGCUAGCAAAUCACUAAAAACUCGUCUC
rnacentral:rRNA from 1 species